rnacentral:rRNA from 1 species
AGGAUGAACGCUGGCGGAGUGCCUAAUACAUGCAAGUCGAGCGGCAGCACGAGUAGUUUACUACUUGGUGGCGAGCGGCGGACGGCUGAGUAACGCGUGGGAACAUGCCCCAAAGUGAGGGAUAAGCUCCAGAAAUGGAGUCUAAUACCGCAUAUGAUCUUCGGAUUAAAGCUUUCGAGCGCUUUGGGAGUGGCCCGCGUCCGAUUAGAUAGUUGGUGAGGUAAAGGCUCACCAAGUCUACGAUCGGUAACUGGUCUGAGAGGAUGAUCAGUCAGACUGGAACUGAGACACGGUCCAGACUCCUACGGGAGGCAGCAGUAAGGAAUCUUCCACAAUGGGGGAAACCCUGAUGGAGCAACUCCGCGUGCAGGACGAAGGCCUUAGGGUCGUAAACUGCUUUUAUGAGUGAAGAAUAUGACGGUAACUCAUGAAUAAGGGUCGGCUAACUACGUGCCAGCACGCGC